UAGUCCACGCCGUAAACGAUGAUAACUAGCCGUUAGAUUUAUUCUAGUGGCGCAGCUAACGCAUUAAGUUAUCCGCCUGGGGAGUACGGCCGCAAGGCUAAAACUCAAAUGAAUUGACGGGGACCCGCACAAGCGGUGGAGCAUGUGGUUUAAUUCGAUGCAACGCGAAAAACCUUACCUACCCUUGACAUCAUUGGAACUUGUUAGAGAUAACUUGGUGCCUUCGGGAACCAAUAGACAGGUGCUGCAUGGCUGUCGUCAGCUCGUGUCGUGAGAUGUUGGGUUAAGUCCCGCAACGAGCGCAACCCUUGUCCUUAGUUGCCAGCGCGUAAUGGCGGGAACUCUAGGGAGACUGCCGGUGACAAACCGGNGGAAGGUGGGGAUGGACGUCAAGUCAUCAUGGGCCCUUACGGGGUAGGGGCUACACACGUGCUACAAUGGGUCGGUACAGAGGGGUUGCGAAGCCGCGAGGUGGGAGCUAAUCUCACAAAACCGNUCGGUAGUCCGGGAUUGGGAGUCUGCAACUC
rnacentral:rRNA from 1 species